UACGUAGGGUGCGAGCGUUAAUCGGAAUUACUGGGCGUAAAGCGUGCGCAGGCGGUUUUGUAAGCCAGAUGUGAAAUCCCCGGGCUUAACCUGGGAACGGCAUUUGGGACUGCAAGGCUGGAGUGUGGUAGAGGAGACUGGAAUUCCCGGUGUAGCAGUGAAAUGCGUAGAUAUCGGGAGGAAUACCGAUGGCGAAGGCAGGUCUCUGGGCUGACACUGACGCUCAUGCACGAAAGCGUGGGGAGCAAACAGG
rnacentral:rRNA from 1 species